rnacentral:tRNA from 1 species
UUUUGUCUAGUUUAUAUAGAAUAGUAGCUUGUCGAGUUAUAGGUACCUUUUAGGGUGGCGAAGU